UACGAAGGGGGCUAGCGUUGUUCGGAGUUACUGGGCGUAAAGGGCGCGUAGGCGGCGCACCAAGUCAGGCGUGAAAGCCCUGGGCUCAACCCGGGAAUUGCGCUUGAGACUGGUGUGCUUGAGUACGGGAGAGGAUAGUGGAAUUCCCAGUGUAGAGGUGAAAUUCGUAGAUAUUGGGAAGAACACCGGUGGCGAAGGCGGCGACCUGGUCCUUUACUGACGCUGAGGCGCGAAAGCGUGGGGAGCAAACAGG
rnacentral:rRNA from 1 species